rnacentral:rRNA from 1 species
UUAAGCGACUAAGCGUACACGGUGGAUGCCCUGGCAGUCAGAGGCGAUGAAGGACGUGCUAAUCUGCGAUAAGCGUCGGUAAGGUGAUAUGAACCGUUAUAACCGGCGAUUUCCGAAUGGGGAAACCCAGUGUGAUUCGUCACACUAUCAUUAACUGAAUCCAUAGGUUAAUGAGGCGAACCGGGGGAACUGAAAACAUCUAAGUACCCCGAGGAAAAGAAAUCAACCGAGAUUCCCCCAGUAGCGGCGAGCGAACGGGGAGCAGCCCAGAGCCUGAAUCAGUGUGUGUGUUAGUGGAAGCGUCUGGAAAGGCGUGCGAUACAGGGUGACAGCCCCGUACACAAAAAUGCACAUACUGUGAGCUCGAUGAGUAGGGCGGGACACGUGGUAUCCUGUCUGAAUAUGGGGGGACCAUCCUCCAAGGCUAAAUACUCCUGACUGACCGAUAGUGAACCAGUACCGUGAGGGAAAGGCGAAAAGAACCCCGGCGAGGGGAGUGAAAAAGAACCUGAAACCGUGUACGUACAAGCAGUGGGAGCACGCUUAGGCGUGUGACUGCGUACCUUUUGUAUAAUGGGUCAGCGACUUAUAUUCUGUAGCAAGGUUAACCGAAUAGGGGAGCCGAAGGGAAACCGAGUCUUAACUGGGCGUUAAGUUGCAGGGUAUAGACCCGAAACCCGGUGAUCUAGCCAUGGGCAGGUUGAAGGUUGGGUAACACUAACUGGAGGACCGAACCGACUAAUGUUGAAAAAUUAGCGGAUGACUUGUGGCUGGGGGUGAAAGGCCAAUCAAACCGGGAGAUAGCUGGUUCUCCCCGAAAGCUAUUUAGGUAGCGCCUCGUGAAUUCAUCUCCGGGGGUAGAGCACUGUUUCGGCAAGGGGGUCAUCCCGACUUACCAACCCGAUGCAAACUGCGAAUACCGGAGAAUGUUAUCACGGGAGACACACGGCGGGUGCUAACGUCCGUCGUGAAGAGGGAAACAACCCAGACCGCCAGCUAAGGUCCCAAAGUCAUGGUUAAGUGGGAAACGAUGUGGGAAGGCCCAGACAGCCAGGAUGUUGGCUUAGAAGCAGCCAUCAUUUAAAGAAAGCGUAAUAGCUCACUGGUCGAGUCGGCCUGCGCGGAAGAUGUAACGGGGCUAAACCAUGCACCGAAGCUGCGGCAGCGACGCUUAUGCGUUGUUGGGUAGGGGAGCGUUCUGUAAGCCUGUGAAGGUGUACUGUGAGGUAUGCUGGAGGUAUCAGAAGUGCGAAUGCUGACAUAAGUAACGAUAAAGCGGGUGAAAAGCCCGCUCGCCGGAAGACCAAGGGUUCCUGUCCAACGUUAAUCGGGGCAGGGUGAGUCGACCCCUAAGGCGAGGCCGAAAGGCGUAGUCGAUGGGAAACAGGUUAAUAUUCCUGUACUUGGUGUUACUGCGAAGGGGGGACGGAGAAGGCUAUGUUGGCCGGGCGACGGUUGUCCCGGUUUAAGCGUGUAGGCUGGUUUUCCAGGCAAAUCCGGAAAAUCAAGGCCGAGGCGUGAUGACGAGGCACUACGGUGCUGAAGCAACAAAUGCCCUGCUUCCAGGAAAAGCCUCUAAGCAUCAGGUAACAUCAAAUCGUACCCCAAACCGACACAGGUGGUCAGGUAGAGAAUACCAAGGCGCUUGAGAGAACUCGGGUGAAGGAACUAGGCAAAAAUGGUGCCGUAACUUCGGGAGAAGGCACGCUGAUACGUAGGUGAAGCGACUUGCUCGUGGAGCUGAAAUCAGUCGAAGAUACCAGCUGGCUGCAACUGUUUAUUAAAAACACAGCACUGUGCAAACACGAAAGUGGACGUAUACGGUGUGACGCCUGCCCGGUGCCGGAAGGUUAAUUGAUGGGGUUAGCGCAAGCGAAGCUCUUGAUCGAAGCCCCGGUAAACGGCGGCCGUAACUAUAACGGUCCUAAGGUAGCGAAAUUCCUUGUCGGGUAAGUUCCGACCUGCACGAAUGGCGUAAUGAUGGCCAGGCUGUCUCCACCCGAGACUCAGUGAAAUUGAACUCGCUGUGAAGAUGCAGUGUACCCGCGGCAAGACGGAAAGACCCCGUGAACCUUUACUAUAGCUUGACACUGAACAUUGAGCCUUGAUGUGUAGGAUAGGUGGGAGGCUUUGAAGUGUGGACGCCAGUCUGCAUGGAGCCGACCUUGAAAUACCACCCUUUAAUGUUUGAUGUUCUAACGUGGACCCGUAAUCCGGGUUGCGGACAGUGUCUGGUGGGUAGUUUGACUGGGGCGGUCUCCUCCUAAAGAGUAACGGAGGAGCACGAAGGUUGGCUAAUCCUGGUCGGACAUCAGGAGGUUAGUGCAAUGGCAUAAGCCAGCUUGACUGCGAGCGUGACGGCGCGAGCAGGUGCGAAAGCAGGUCACAGUGAUCCGGUGGUUCUGAAUGGAAGGGCCAUCGCUCAACGGAUAAAAGGUACUCCGGGGAUAACAGGCUGAUACCGCCAAGAGUUCAUAUCGACGGCGGUGUUUGGCACCUCGAUGUCGGCUCAUCACAUCCUGGGGCUGAAGUAGGUCCCAAGGGUAUGGCUGUUCGCCAUUUAAAGUGGUACGCGAGCUGGGUUUAGAACGUCGUGAGACAGUUCGGUCCCUAUCUGCCGUGGGCGCUGGAGAACUGAGGGGGGCUGCUCCUAGUACGAGAGGACCGGAGUGGACGCAUCACUGGUGUUCGGGUUGUCAUGCCAAUGGCACUGCCCGGUAGCUAAAUGCGGAAGAGAUAAGUGCUGAAAGCAUCUAAGCACGAAACUUGACCCCGAGAUGAGUUCUCCCUGACCCUUUAAGGGUCCUGAAGGAACGUUGAAGACGACGACGUUGAUAGGCCGGGUGUGUAAGCGCAGCGAUGCGUUGAGCUAACCGGUACUAAUGAACCGUUGAGGCUUAACCUU